UACAGAGACCUCAAGCAUUAUCCGGAUUUAUUGGGCGUAAAGGGUCCGCAGGUGGUCUGGUGCGUCAUUGGUUAAAUGUGUGGGCUCAACCUACAUACCGCCAGUGAUACGACCAGACUUGAGACUGGGAGAGGCAAGCGGAAUUACUGGUGUAGUAGUAAAAUGCGUCAAUAUCAGUAAGAACACCAAAAGCGAAGGCAGCUUGCUGGAACAGUUCUGACACUCAGGGACGAAAGCGUGGGGAGCGAAUGGG
rnacentral:rRNA from 1 species